rnacentral:RNase_P_RNA from 1 species
GCGGAGGGCCGGAUGGCCGCGUGAGGCCCUUGGGCCUUGCGAGGAAAGUCCGGACUCCACAAGGCAACGGUGCCGGGUAACGCCCGGGAGGAUCCGGUGGGAAACCGCCGGUUUCGACGGAAAGCGCCACAGAGAACAAACCGCCCUCGCUUGCGGGGGCAAGGGUGAAAAGGUGGGGUAAGAGCCCACCGGGGGGCUGGCAACAGCACCUGCAUGGCAAGCCCCACCGGGAGCAAUGCCGAAUAGGGAUCGUGCGCGGGCUGGUCGGGCAACCGAUACCGCCGCAGGGCCGCCUUGGCCCCGGCGAUCCGGGUUGGCAGCUAGAGCCUGUGGGCAACCGCAGGCCCAGAGGAAUGGUCAUCGGCCGCGGGGCGACCCGUGGUUACAGAAUCCGGCUUACAGGCCCUUCGCGCGC